rnacentral:rRNA from 1 species
AAAGGGGCCCGCAAGGGUCUCACUGAAGGAGGGGUCCGCGUCCGAUUAGCUAGUUGGUAGGGUAAUGGCCUACCAAGGCGACGAUCGGUAGCCGGCCUGAGAGGGUGAUCGGCCACACUGGAACUGAGACACGGUCCAGACUCCUACGGGAGGCAGCAGUGGGGAAUUUUGCGCAAUGGGCGGAAGCCUGACGCAGCAACGCCGCGUGGAGGAUGAAGGUCCUUGGAUCGUAAACUCCUGUCAGCGGGGAAAAAGGGAGGCGACCUCAUACGUCGUCAACUUGAUUGUACCCGCAGAGGAAGCCCCGGCUAACUCUGUGCCAGCAGCCGCGGUAAUACAGAGGGGGCAAGCGUUAUUCGGAAUUAUUGGGCGUAAAGGGCGCGUAGGCGGCUUUGCAAGUGACGGGUGAAAUCCCUCGGCUUAACCGAGGAACUGCCUGUCAAACUGCAUGGCUUGAGACCGGGAGAGGUGAGUGGAAUUCCCAGUGUAGCGGUGAAAUGCGUAGAUAUUGGGAGGAACACCAGUGGCGAAGGCGGCUCACUGGACCGGUACUGACGCUGAGGCGCGAAAGCGUGGGUAGCAAACAGGAUUAGAUACCCUGGUAGUCCACGCCGUAAACGAUGAGUGCUUGGUGUAGCGGGUAUCGACCUCUGCUGUGCCGAAGUCAACACAUUAAGCACUCCGCCUGGGGAGUACGGUCGCAAGACUGAAACUCAAAGGAAUUGACGG